UACGUAGGGUGCAAGCGUUUGUCCGGAAUUAUUGGGCGUAAAGAGCUCGUAGGCGGUGUGUCGCGUCGGCCGUGAAAACCUGGGGGCUCAACUCUGGGCGUGCGGUCGAUACGGGCAUCACUUGAGUUCGGCAGGGGAGACUGGAAUUCUUGGUGUAGCGGUGAAAUGCGUAGAUAUCAGGAAGAACACCCGUGGCGAAGGCGGUUCUCUGGGACGGUACUGACGCUGAGACGCGAAAAGCGUGGGGAGCGAACAGG
rnacentral:rRNA from 1 species